rnacentral:rRNA from 1 species
UACGUAGGGUCCGAGCGUUGUCCGGAAUUAUUGGGCGUAAAGGGCUCGUAGGCGGUUUGUCGCGUCGGGAGUGAAAACACGGGGCUUAACCCCGUGCCUGCUUCCGAUACGGGCAGACUAGAGGUAUGCAGGGGAGAACGGAAUUCCUGGUGUAGCGGUGAAAUGCGCAGAUAUCAGGAGGAACACCGAUUGCGAAGGCAGCUCGCUGGGACGUAACUGACGCUGAGACGCGAAAGCGUGGGGAGCAAACAGG